rnacentral:rRNA from 1 species
UAGUGGCCGAACGGGUGAGUAACACGUGGGCAAUCUGCCCUUCACUCUGGGACAAGCCCUGGAAACGGGGUCUAAUACCGGAUAAUACUUCUGCCUGCAUGGGCGGGGGUUGAAAGCUCCGGCGGUGAAGGAUGAGCCCGCGGCCUAUCAGCUUGUUGGUGGGGUGAUGGCCUACCAAGGCGACGACGGGUAGCCGGCCUGAGAGGGCGACCGGCCACACUGGGACUGAGACACGGCCCAGACUCCUACGGGAGGCAGCAGUGGGGAAUAUUGCACAAUGGGCGAAAGCCUGAUGCAGCGACGCCGCGUGAGGGAUGACGGCCUUCGGGUUGUAAACCUCUUUCAGCAGGGAAGAAGCGAAAGUGACGGUACCUGCAGAAGAAGCGCCGGCUAACUACGUGCCAGCAGCCGCGGUAAUACGUAGGGCGCAAGCGUUGUCCGGAAUUAUUGGGCGUAAAGAGCUCGUAGGCGGCUUGUCGCGUCGGAUGUGAAAGCCCGGGGCUUAACCCCGGGUCUGCAUUCGAUACGGGCAGGCUAGAGUGUGGUAGGGGAGAUCGGAAUUCCU